GGGGCCUUGAAGGCCUCAGCCUUCACUCUGAGCUGGAAACUUCCAGAAGGCUUUGGGUGCACAUGGACACAAUGACAUGAGGCGUCUUUCCAGGAACCCUGCAGAGGCCCAGUCAAGAACAGGUGGAAGAGCUGGGCAUGGUGGCGCACACCCUGUAAUCCUACCCCUCGGGAGCCUGAGGCAAAGGAUCACUGAAAGUUUGAGGCCAGCCUGGGCUUACAUACUCUUGGCUCAUGGUGUGAGAAAGGAAGACAGAAUCUACAUAGUGAAAGCAGGUGACUCCAGAGGCCUCCAGGGAGAAACACACCAGUGGAACUGAGCAGUGGAUGCUGUGCACUACAACAGCUGUGUCCCCUCCAAGGGUGCCUGGUGUAAGACCGAGGGCCUUACCAAACGCUCCGAGGAGCUGAAGUGGAGCACACCCGGGGAUCCCAGCGGUGCCUCCAGAAUGUAAG
rnacentral:lncRNA from 1 species